AGGUACUCCCGAGACCAACGCGCAUUACCUGGGAACAAACUACCGUCAUCCAAGAAUUUUCGCUGUCGCUCUGCUUAAAUUUGAGUCCACCGAUUGCGCCAAAUAUUUUGACGGGGCUAAGUCGAUGGCAAAGAAAAAAAACUAUAUUAUUCUGCACUGAAUUAUUAUAAUCCACCUUAUAAAAUGAUUGAAUUAUUUGAUGUUCUAUUAUUCCGCGAUACCUCUUGGGCUAUAUUUGGUCCUUUUACCUUAUUCAUCAUGGGCCACAUCCCUCAUCAUUUGUACGAGGUAAUGAGUUUAUGACAAAGAGCAUCACAAUCACAAGCAGAACACGGAUUAAACCGGUUCGAGAACAUUUAUUAAUGGGAGCAUGAGAGUAUAGAACGACAGAAAACGAGAAUACAUGACAAAUAUACCCUUAAUAUUUGGACCAUCGGACUUUGUUCUUCCUUUCGGUCAAAGGACCAUCGGACUUGAUGAGGCGCUCGAUCGACGAUCUUAUUCCGACAUGUAAGUAGAUGUAUAGAACUCAUGCCCCCCAUGGCAAGCUGCUCCAUCGUGUCCUCACCCCUCCUCACCGCACGAAGGCCCCGCAUGGAAGCUAUCCAUUUCCACGAUCAUGAUCACGACCUUGCCCUGGCGAGGGAAAGGGAUAUCGUCGUCCGAGGAAUCUGAAGCUGAAUCAUGGUCCGAGGAAUCUGAAGCUGAACCAGAGUUACCCAUUUUUCUCGAAGGAGAAGUUGCGAAACCCUUUCCUUUCGAGACUAGAUCCAAAUGUAUGAGUUUUUUUUUUUUUUUUUUUGGCUUUGGUCUGACAAGUAUAUGAGUUUAAAAGCUAGCAAACAUUGCGUAUAUAUAGGUUUUAAUUGCACUAAAAUCU
rnacentral:lncRNA from 1 species